AGUGAACGCUGGCGGCAUGCCUAACACAUGCAAGUCGAACGGCAGCACAGUAAGAUCUCGCCCUUACGGGUAGCGAGGGGCGGACGGGUGAGGCAUACAUCGCAUUCCACUUUGACGGGGGGGACAACGGGGGGCAGCAGAUGAUAACACCGCAUGCGAUGUACCGGAGAGAGCAGGGGAGAAUCGCGGUUUGCGCGUCUCAAUGAGCCGAAGUCGGAUUAGCUAGUUGGCGGGGUAAAGGCCCACCAAGGCAACGAUACGUAGCUGGUCUGAGAGGAUGAUCAGCCACACUGGAACUGAGACACGGUCCAGACUCCUACGGGAGGCAGCAGUGGGGAAUAUUGGACAAUGGGCGCAAGCCUGACCCAGCCAUGCCGCGUGAGUGAAGAAGGCCUUCGGAUCGUAAAGCCCUUUUAUUGGGGAAGAACAGCUGCGGAUUAAUCCCCCGCUGUUCUGACGGUACCCAAUGAGUAAGCACCGGCUAACUUCGUG
rnacentral:rRNA from 1 species